AUUGUACUAUUUUCCUUUUAUUAUUAUUAUUUUUUUAAAAAAAAAAUAAAAAGAAUAACCCUCUCCCACACGCCUCACUCUCCUACGAACCCCCCUUCAUUUUUCUUCUUCCUUCAGUCGCCGCCGUUAGUGGGUUCCGGCUGGCCAGAUCCCGCCGGUCAGACACGUCGCCAGUCGCCCAGCUUUCCAGACUGCCGCCGCCCGAUCUCAAGCUGGUCUCCACCACCGCUCGCUGUGUAAGCUUCUGCCUAGCCGACUCCUUCGCCGUACAUCCGCCGCUCUCAGCCCGACCAGACUCGAGUCGUCGACGUCCUCCUCCGCCCAAAUCCAGCCGCUUGCCCUCUACCUUCGUGUCGACUCCGCCGAAAAAUCCAGAUCUGAAGCGCCGCCUCGCCGUUCGCGACCCAGCACCGCCCUUUCUCAGUCGGCUGGAUCCGACUCCCACCAGCGAUGCGUCGCUCGAUGGCGAGCUUCAAACGCCCGCCUCUCUCUCUCUCUGACCCACGAAUCUAUAGCUUGUUGCCUCUGGUUGCAAUUCGCUGCUGCCUAGGUUGUGCGACUCCACUCCGACACCACCGUCAAGCAGGAUGUCGUCGCCACUCGGAUCUACUAGUUUGGAUACAAAGUUUGGAGGCAUUUUAAAGUCUUUUGGGUGCUACCGACAAGAUUAUGAGUUCCGUCAAUUUUGGUUCAGUUUGGACAAAUAAAUAGAACUUUGGAACUGGCCUCAAGCCACGACUUCGGAUGGAUUCAAAGUCUUCCGAGAGUUGUAAGAAGGUUAAUUACUUGGGUUAAUUUGGGACCAAAUUUGAAUAAGGAUAGAGAUGCACCGCGGAUGGCGCAACGGAAUUCAUGAUUGAGCCACUGGGACUAGUUUUUACGCUUCCGCAUCAUGAGAUUUAGAGUUCUUUUCAUGUUUCCCUAAAGGUUUUAGUUUUGAUGUUUGAAACUUAUUAUUAAGAAUUGUUUUCAUAUGUAUUUAUU